rnacentral:rRNA from 1 species
UACGUAGGGUCCGAGCGUUGUCCGGAAUUAUUGGGCGUAAAGGGCUCGUAGGCGGUUCGUCACGUCGGGAGUGAAAACUCGGAGCUUAACUCCGAGCCUGCUUCCGAUACGGGCAGACUAGAGGUAGGCAGGGGAGAGCGGAACUCCUGGUGUAGCGGUGGAAUGCGCAGAUAUCAGGAGGAACACCCGUAGCGAAGGCGGCACUCUGGGCCGAUACUGACACUGAGGAGCGAAAGCGUGGGGAGCGAACAGG